rnacentral:rRNA from 1 species
GUGAGUUACGACGGCAGUGAUUAGAGUUUGAUCCUGGCUCAGGAUGAACGCUAGCUACAGGCUUAACACAUGCAAGUCGAGGGGCAGCGAGAAGAAAGCUUGCUUUCUUUGUCGGCGACCGGCGCACGGGUGAGUAACGCGUAUCCAACCUUCCCCUUAGUAGAGGAUAGCCCGGCGAAAGUCGGAUUAAUACUCUAUGUUAUUCGUAGAUGACAUCUGAAAUGAAUCAAAGGUUUACCGCUAAGGGAUGGGGAUGCGUCUGAUUAGGUUGUUGGCGGGGUAACGGCCCACCAAGCCCACGAUCAGUAGGGGUUCUGAGAGGAAGGUCCCCCACAUUGGAACUGAGACACGGUCCAAACUCCUACGGGAGGCAGCAGUGAGGAAUAUUGGUCAAUGGACGGAAGUCUGAACCAGCCAAGUAGCGUGCAGGAUGACGGCCCUAUGGGUUGUAAACUGCUUUUGUAUGGGAAUAAAGUGCGGGACGUGUCCCGUUUUGUAUGUACCAUAAGAAUAAGGACCGGCUAAUUCCGUGCCAGCAGCCGCGGUAAUACGGAAGGUCCGGGCGUUAUCCGGAUUUAUUGGGUUUAAAGGGAGCGCAGGCUGGAGAUUAAGCGUGACGUGAAAUGCCGCGGCUCAACCGUGGAAGUGCGUCGCGAACUGGUUUCCUUGAGUGUAUUCGACGUCAGCGGAAUUCGUGGUGUAGCGGUGAAAUGCUUAGAUAUCACGAAGAACUCCGAUUGCGAACGCAGCUGGCGAGGCUAUAACUGACGCUAAAGCUCGAAUGUGCGGGUAUCGAACAGGAUUAGAUACCCUGGUAGUCCGCACGGUAAACGAUGGAUGCCCGCUGUAUGCGAUAUACUGUAUGCGCAAGCGAAAGCGUUAAGCAUCCCACCUGGGGAGUACGCAGCACGUGAAACUCAAGAUCGACGGGGCCGCACAGCGAGACAUGUGUUAUCGAUGAUACGCGAGGACUUACCCGCCUGACUGCAGGAAACGAUCAGAUGAUAGCUCGGCUUCUGGGGAGGGGCUGCAUGUUGUCUCAGCCAUGCUGAGGUUCGCUAUGGCCUACAGGCAACCUUGCCAAGUGGCAUCAGGUUAACUUGAACCUAGGUGAGCUCACGUAGAUGACAGUGAAAUAUAAACGGCCAUCG